rnacentral:rRNA from 1 species
GACGAACGCUGGCGGCGUGCCUAAUACAUGCAAGUCGAGCGAAGUUUUUCUGGAGCUUGCACUAGAAAAACUUAGCGGCGAACGGGUGAGUAACACGUAAAGAACCUGCCUCAUAGACGGGGACAACUAUUGGAAACGAUAGCUAAUACCGGAUAACAGCAUAAAUCGCAUGAUAUAUGUUUAAAAGUUGGUUUCGGCUAACACUAUGAGAUGGCUUUGCGGUGCAUUAGCUAGUUGGUGGGGUAAAGGCCUACCAAGGCGACGAUGCAUAGCCGACCUGAGAGGGUGAUCGGCCACACUGGGACUGAGACACGGCCCAGACUCCUACGGGAGGCAGCAGUAGGGAAUCUUCCGCAAUGGGCGAAAGCCUGACGGAGCAACGCCGCGUGAGUGAAGAAGGAUUUCGGUUCGUAAAGCUCUGUUGUUAGGGAAGAAUGAUUGUAUAGUAACUAUAUAC